rnacentral:rRNA from 1 species
GUAAGGAAUAUUGGUCAAUGGGCGAAAGCCUGAACCAGCCAUGCCGCGUGCAGGAUGAAGGCCCUCUGGGUUGUAAACUGCUUUUAUCUGGGAAGAAACACCCCGUUUCUACGGGGCUUGACGGUACCAGAGGAAUAAGCACCGGCUAACUCCGUGCCAGCAGCCGCGGUAAUACGGAGGGUGCAAGCGUUAUCCGGAUUUACUGGGUUUAAAGGGUGCGUAGGCGGGCCUUUAAGUCAGUGGUGAAAUCUCCCGGCUUAACCGGGAAACUGCCAUUGAUACUAUUGGUCUUGAAUUCAGUUGAGGUGGGCGGAAUGUGUCGUGUAGCGGUGAAAUGCUUAGAUAUGACACAGAACACCAAUUGCGAAGGCAGCUCGCUAAACUGACAUUGACGCUGAGGCACGAAAGCGUGGGGAUCAAACAGGAUUAGAAACCCGAGUAGUCC